UAAGCCAAGAAGUGAUGUUACAUGAUAUUAUUUGGCUCUGACAAACAACUCCGAGGCAUAUCAUUGUUUGAGUUUGAGCGUUUGAUCAAACCUGUAACAAAGAAAGCUUCAUGAGAAGAUGAAGAAAAGAGAAGAAGCAAGAAUCAAAGAAGAAGAUGAAGUUGUCGUGGAGAAGGUCAACAACAAAGAACAUAACAAGUCAACAAGGAAGAAGAAGAUGGGUUUGUUGUUUUGGUGAUAAGGGUUAAUGGGUGUAAAGAAUUAUAAGGCCCAACUAGCUAAAUUAUGUUUAUGUGUAGUAGCUUAAUGGGUCAAGCGUCGAGAAAAAUAACUAGAGUACCAAGAGUAAUAGGGUACCUGUAGCUAGUAGUUGUUGAGGGGUCCUAAAGUCAUGAAUGUCCUAACGUGUGUCAGUGUUGUAGUGAAGUAGUAUAAAGAGUAUAUGUG
rnacentral:lncRNA from 1 species